UUGCCAAGAAUUUAAAGGGGUCUAGAAACAUCCAUCUUUCCCCCUUUAACAAUUACAGGGAGCUCAGGGCUCUUGGUAAAAAGACUACUGGGAAGAGGAAUGGACUGAGUGCAGUUUCUUCUUGUGUGUGGAAAAUACCUUCAGCGCCCCCAAAUGCCCAGCCCGCCCCCUCCCCAAAGCAGAAGAGGAAGGAAGAGUCGCGUAUUCUCAGAGUGAAGGUUGUUUCUGGGAUUGAUCUCGCCAAAAAGGACAUCUUUGGAGCCAGGUAUGUUUACUUUGUAUUUUUGUAGGUCCUGAAAAGUUUGGCAUGUGCUUUUCAAAUUCAGGCAUGCGUCAGAAUCACCUGAAGUCCUCCUGAAAUGAAGCUCGCUGGCCCCCACCUGCAGUUUCUCAUUGAGCAGGGGAUGCUCAUGCAGCUGCUCCGGGGACCACAUUUUGGGCAGGGGUCUAGACCCUGCGUCUCAGCAGCAGUUGGCAGUCUUGUCCUUCACAUGGGCUGAUUUCAUGAGGAAACGAGAUUCUGAUAUUUCUCUUUUUCUCAGUAGAAAAAUACAGUUUGGGAAUAUGUUCUCAUUUUAAUAUGUUCCCUUUUUUAAAAAUCCCUAACUUAGGGAAAUCUAGAAGUGUUUUUGUUCCUAGGCGAAUUGAACAUUUUUUGGCAUGUAUAAUCUGAAUUAAGAGAUUUGGUGAUUUGGGUGAAUUUGGUGAUUUCUGUGUCUUUGAUGGAAGCACUAGCAGCCAGAUCUUUCUGGGUGUUUUGGCUUUCUUAUUCUGAAUAUUGCCCCUGAUGUUCAUGUAUCUUUGAAUCAGCCCCUUUGUUCCCAUUGGCUCUCUGCAGUGUGCUGAAUUCAGUUAUUGGACGAGUAGCAGAAUGAGGUCAGAGCCUCUUGGAACUAGGAUUGGAACCAGAUUUUGGAGAACAAAGACCUUUUGAAUUUUAGACAUAGAGGAGACAUUAAAGAUGUUCUAGUCUAGCUUUCCUGUGUUAGGGUUGACAAAGCUUAAAUCCAGAAAGGUAAUACUUGCUUGCCCAGGUCACAUAUGCAGGAGUACUAGAACAGGCCUCCCGUCCCCCACCCAGGGUUACACUGAGGGGCUUAACCGUGUGGACCGUGGGGAGGGUUACCUGCUGCUGGAGUCAUCUCGUUAGAACACUGAUUUCGUCCUGUCAGUCCCUGCUACUGUUGCCCAUAGUGACCUCUGGUUUCAGGGCCUCAGCCUGACACAGGCUCCCUUAGGGACAAGGCCUUGUUCUGUCUAGUGAACCUCAGCUUCCUGCACACCCAGCAG
rnacentral:lncRNA from 1 species